UGGGGAAUUUUGGACAAUGGGCGAAAGCCUGAUCCAGCAAUGCCGCGUGUGUGAAGAAGGCCUUCGGGUUGUAAAGCACUUUUGUCCGGAAAGAAAUCCUUGGCUCUAAUACAGUCGGGGGAUGACGGUACCGGAAGAAUAAGCACCGGCUAACUACGUGCCAGCAGCCGCGGUAAUACGUAGGGUGCAAGCGUUAAUCGGAAUUACUGGGCGUAAAGCGUGCGCAGGCGGUUUGCUAAGACCGAUGUGAAAUCCCCGGGCUCAACCUGGGAACUGCAUUGGGUGACUGGCAGGCUAGAGUAUGGCAGAGGGGGGUUAGAAUUCCACGUGUAGCAGUGAAAUGCGUAGAGAUGUGGAGGAAUACCGAUGGCGAAGGCAGCCCCCUGGGCCAAUACUGACGCUCAUGCACGAAAAGCGUGGGGAGCAAAACAGGAUUAGAUACCCCUGGUAGUCCACGCCCUAAACGAUGUCAACUAGUUGUUGGGGAUUCAUUUCCUUAGUAACGUAGCUAACGCGUGAAGUUGACCGCCUGGGGAGUACGUCGCAAGAUUAAAACUCAAAUGAAUUGACGGGGUCAUAGCUGUUUCCU
rnacentral:rRNA from 1 species